GACGAACGCUGGCGGCGUGCUUAACACAUGCAAGUCGAACGAAGUGGCGAACGGGUGAGUAACGCGUAAUCAACCUGCCCUUCAGAGGGGGACAACAGUUGGAAACGACUGCUAAUACCGCAUACUGAAGGAGGGGUUUGCGUCUGAUUAGCUAGUUGGAGGGGUAACGGCCCACCAAGGCGAGGUUCAGUAGCCGGUCUGAGAGGAAGAACGGCCACAUUGGGACUGCGACACGGCCCAGACUCCUACGGGAGGCAGCUGUGGGGGAUAUUGCACAAUGGUCGAAAGCCUGAUGCAGCGACGCCGCGUGGGGGAUGAAGGCUUUCGGGUUGUAAACCUCUUUCGCUAUCGAACGGGUAGGUGGAGAAGAAGCGCCGGCUAACUACGUGCCAGCAGCCGCGGUAAUAC
rnacentral:rRNA from 1 species